ACCUACGGGGGGCAGCAGUGGGGAAUAUUGCACAAUGGGCGAAAGCCUGAUGCAGCAACGCCGCGUGAAGGAAGAAGGGUUUCGGCUCGUAAACUUCUAUUAACAGGGACGAAAGAAAUGACGGUACCUGAAUAAGAAGCCCCGGCUAACUACGUGCCAGCAGCCGCGGGAAUACGUAGGGGGCAAGCGUUAUCCGGAAUUACUGGGUGUAAAGGGUGAGUAGGCGGCAUGGUAAGCCAGAUGUGAAAGCCUUGGGCUUAACCCGAGGAUUGCAUUUGGAACUAUCAAGCUAGAGUACAGGAGGG
rnacentral:rRNA from 1 species